GAUGAACGCUGGCGGCGUGCCUAAUACAUGCAAGUCGAGCGAACGGACGAUAAGCUUUCUUCUCUGCUGUUAGCGACUGACGGGCGAGUAACACGUGCAUAACCUACCUAUAAUACUGGGAUAACUUCGUGAAACCGGAUCUAAUACCGGAUCAUAUUUUCAACCGCAUAGUUCAAAAGUUAAACACUCUCUUGCCGUCACUUAUAGAUGGAUCCGCGCUGCAUUAGCUAGUUGGUAAGGUAACGGCUUACCAAGGCAACGAUGCAUAGCCGACCUGAGAGGGUGAUCGGCCACACUGGAACUGAGACACGGUCCAGACUCCUACGGGAGGCAGCAGUAGGGAAUAUUCCGCAAUGGGCGAAAGCCUGACGGAGCCACGCCGCGUGAGUGAUGAAGGUCUUCGGAUCGUAAAACUCUGUUAUUAGGGAAGAAAAUAUGUGUAAGAAACUGUGGACAUCUUGACGGUACCCAAUCAGAAAGCAACGGCUAACUACGUG
rnacentral:rRNA from 1 species